rnacentral:rRNA from 1 species
GUGGGGAAUUUUGGACAAUGGGCGCAAGCCUGAUCCAGCAAUGCCGCGUGCAGGAAGAAGGCCUUCGGGUUGUAAACUGCUUUUGUACGGAACGAAACGGUCCUGGUUAAUACCUGGGGCUAAUGACGGUACCGUAAGAAUAAGCACCGGCUAACUACGUGCCAGCAGCCGCGGUAAUACGUAGGGUGCGAGCGUUAAUCGGAAUUACUGGGCGUAAAGCGUGCGCAGGCGGUGCUGUAAGACAGGCGUGAAAUCCCCGGGCUCAACCUGGGAAUUGCGCUUGUGACUGGAGUGCUGGAGUACGGCAGAGGGGGAUGGAAUUCCGCGUGUAGCAGUGAAAUGCGUAGAUAUGCGGAGGAACACCGAUGGCGAAGGCAGUCCCCUGGGCCUGUACUGACGCUCAUGCACGAAAGCGUGGGGAGCAAACAGGAUUAGAAACCCGUGUAGUCC